GGAAGAAACUCCGGCCCCUGGAUCCAAUCCUUCUGAUCUCCCAAUCCACCCAACUACACAAAAAUGUGGAGGCCAGUGACCUAUUUUGGCAUCCAUCAGUCAAGCCUCAUGGUAAGAACUCCGAUUCCACUCCUGUGGUUAUUCCAAGCAAGCACAGAAAAGAAUCAAAAACCUUGUCCCAGAGCCCUCCUGGUCAAGGAGACAAUAUGUGCCCUAAGACGGUCAUCAUUUGCCAAGUCAGUUCUGAGAAUGCAUGGUCUCCUGGAAGGCGCUGGAGCCAAU
rnacentral:lncRNA from 1 species